rnacentral:rRNA from 1 species
CCCUUAGAUGUUCUGGGCCGCACGCGCGCUACACUGAUGCAUUCAACGAGUUUCUUCCUGGUCCGAGAGGAAUGGGUAACCUUUUGAAAGUGCAUCGUGAUAGGGAUAGACUAUUGCAAUUAUUGGUCUUCAACGAGGAAUUCCUCGUAGACGUAGUUCAUCAGACUGCAUCGAUUACGUCCCUGCCCUUUGUACACACCGCCCGUCGCUCCUACCGAUUGAAUGCUCAGGUGAGCCAUUCGGACUUUCAUCAUGCUGGUUUCCAGUUUUGAUGAAGGAAAGUCUUGCGAACCUUAUCAUUUAGAGGAAGGAGAAGUCGUAACA